AUGGAGAGUUCGAUCCUGGCUCAGAACGAACGCUGGCGGCGCGUUUUAAGCAUGCAAGUCGAGCGGCAGCAGCAAUGCGAGAGCGGCGGACGGGUGAGUAACACGUGGGUAAUCUGCCCUCCGGUCGGGAAUAGCCUGUGGAAACACAGGAUAAUACCGGAUGCGAUGGUCCCCGCACAAGCGGGGGUCAGGAAAGGAGCCAAGGCUCCGCCGGAGGAUGAGCCCGCGUCCCAUUAGCUUGAUGGUGAGGUAAAGGCCCACCAUGGCGAUGAUGGGUAGCCGGCCUGAGAGGGUGAACGGUCACAUUGGAACUGAGACACGGUCCAGACUCCUACGGGAGGCAGCAGCUAAGAAUCUUCCACAAUGGACGAAAGUCUGAUGGAGCGACGCCGCGUGGGCGAUGAAGGCCGUGAGGUUGUAAAGCCCUUUUCUUGAGGGGGAAUAACGCAGGCAGGGAAUGGCCUGCGGAUGACGUGAAUCAAGGAAUAAGCCCCGGCUAACUACGUGCCAGCAGCCGCGGUAACACGUAGGGGGCGAGCGUUGUUCGGAAUCAUUGGGCGUAAAGGGCGCGCAGGCGGCCGUGUAAGUCUGGUGUAAAAUGGUUGUGCUCAACACAAUCAUGCGCUGGAAACUGCGGGGCUUGAGUCAACGAGGGGAUGCCGGAAUUCCAGGUGUAGGGGUGAAAUCUGUAGAUAUCUGGAAGAACACCAGUGGCGAAGGCAGGCAUCUGGCGACUGACUGACGCUGAGGCGCGAAGGUGCGGGGAGCAAACAGGUUUAGAUACCCUGGUAGUCCGCACAGUAAACGAUGUGCACCAGGUGGCGGGCAGCAGUGCUCGGUACCGAAGCAAACGCAUUAAGUGCACCGCCUGGGGAGUAUGCCCGCAAGGGUGAAACUCAAAGGAAUUGACGGGGGCCCGCACAAGCGGUGGAGCAUGUGGUUUAAUUCGACGAUACGCGAGAAACCUUACCAGGGCUUGACAUACACCGGGAUGCGGCGGAAACGUCGCAGCUGCUUGCAGCCGGUGUACAGGUGCUGCAUGGCUGUCGUCAGCUCGUGCUGUGAAGUGUUGGGUUAAGUCCCGCAACGAGCGCAACCCCUGCCUUCUGUUACCAUCAUUCAGUUGGGGACUCAGAAGGAACUGCCGGUGACAAACCGGAGGAAGGUGGGGACGACGUCAAGUCAUCAUGGCCCUUACGUCCUGGGCCACACACGUGCUACAAUGGCCGGUACAGAGUGCUGCGAAUCCGGAAGGAGGAGCGAAUCACAAAAAGCCGGUCUCAGUACGGACUGGAGUCUGCAACCCGACUCCACGAAGUUGGAAUCGCUAGUAAUCCCGUAUCAGCAUGACGGGGUGAAUACGUUCCCGGGCCUUGUACACACCGCCCGUCACACCAUCCGAGUUGGGGGUACCCGAAGUCGCUAGUCUGACCGCAAGGGGGACGGUGCCGAAGGUACGCCUGGUGAGGGGGGUGAAGUCGUAACAAGGCAGCCGUACCGGAAGGUGCGGCUGGAUCACCUCCUU
rnacentral:rRNA from 1 species